UUAAAUUGAAGAGUUUGAUCAUGGCUCAGAUUGAACGCUGGCGGCAGGCCUAACACAUGCAAGUCGAGCGGA
rnacentral:rRNA from 5 species